rnacentral:tRNA from 1 species
GGCUCUUUGGUCUAGAGGCAUGAUUUCUCUUUCGGGUCUGAUCCCCUCUGCCAGCAGGUGGAGUUCCAAUAGAGGAGGUCGGGGGUUCGAUUCCCCCAAGAGCCC